AGCUGACUCAUGGGAGGUGGGGCAACAGCAUAGGAAAGGGCUAGGGGAAUACUCACUUCACCCUUCCUUCCUUGGACACUCACUGGGAUGAAUAGUCUGGGCUUUAGAGUCAUAGGCCUGAAUCCACCCAGCCCAGGUCCUCAAAAGACUCUUCUCAAUGCUGGGGGAUCAGAAAUGUGUUAAAUAAAACCUGGUCAGGAAGGUGAGAGCUUGUCUUUGUGCAACCAGCUCCACAGAUAGCCACAUUUGCCACCAAGUUGCAGAUGCUACUAUGAUGCCAACCUGACUUCCCUGGGCAGAUGACCUCACCAGUGUGUCCUGGAACCCCACCUCCCCAGAGCCCUGCCCCACUAGGGAAAGAUAGGGACAGGCUGGGAAUAUGGAUCAACCUGCUAAUGCUCCUGUCCAGUGGAGAAGCAAUUGCAGAAGCCAGACCUUUCACUUUCGGCACCCCAUAAUGAUCCUGGAUCCAUGCUCCCAGAGGGAUAAAGAAGAAGAAAGCUUUCAAAGGAGGGGAUGGGAUAUGGAGUUCUGAUGGUGGGAACUAUGUGGAAUUGUACCCCUCUUAUCCUAUGGUCUUGUCAGUAUUUCCAUUUUUGUAAAUAAAUUUUUAAAAAUUGA